UCACGAAAUCUUUGUGGGGAUAGUUCUCGAAGAACAAUCUGUUUCUGGCAAAAGAAACUGAUUACAAAUGUAGAGAGAAAGUGUCGUUUUUCGUAUUUGAAACCGAGACCAAAUGACUCCUUAUAUAGGAGAUCAAUAACUGAAACCGAAAAGACACACCUGUUUGGAAAAACGGUUAUGUCGGUUGGGGAAAAGGAUUCAAAAUUUUCGAACGGGGCGCUCCCCCGUACCCCGCCAGGGGCUUUGCCCCUUGGAACCCCGUUUCAAUUAUUCAUAUUCAAUUAUACAUUGGCUCGACGAGCAUGCACUCCGCACUUCCCUAACUCGUUUCCAAGCUUAACGCAUAAUUGCAUCGGUCUUUAG